CGUUUUUGUUCAGACCAAUCACGUGUAGGGUUUCAUUAUCUUCUUAACUUUAACAUUCAUAGCUCAGCAAGUCAGCAUCCUUGCUAAGCCGUCGAUCAACUCACUAUAACGUAUCUCAUUUGCAUUAAAACUUACUUUAAUCCGAGUUUUAACGUGAUUACCCCCACCUCCUACUCUCAAAACAUUCAAUUGGACUCAUCGUCUCCCAAUUAAACCGACGGGGGCUCCGACUAUAAAUCUCCUAGCGAUGACAGCACAACUUCACCAAAUCGAGAAGAACGAGGACCAGUCUCC
rnacentral:lncRNA from 1 species